GGGUAUUGACCGGGCCAGGCCAAAAGGGCGCUUCGAAAGCACCUCUGGUGUACCAGUUAUCGUGCCCACGGUAAACGCUGGGUAGCCAAGUGCGGAGCGGAUAACUGCUGAAAGCAUCUAAGUAGUAAGCCCACCCCAAGAUGAGUGCUC
rnacentral:sRNA from 1 species